UUUAGUCUCAUGUUGGAAGAAACUUUAAACAGACCUCUAUCAGAGACUUUGGAAGAUGAUAUUCCUGAGCAGGAACUUGGAGAAUAUUUACAUUCUUAUAAACAACUCAAUACUGGCACAGGGACGCCGCAGGAUGAUGAUAUCGAGGAGAAUGUCUUUGCUCUCGUUGACUCGGAUGUAGAAAAUGAUUUUCCAAUUGAUGACAAAAGAACGUUCAUCUAAAAGCAACUUACAAUUGGAAUAAUUCAUUUUGCUUGUUCUGUGACCAUGUCUUCAAGAAGCUAAUGAGUGAAUGUUCUAGCUUCCUCUGCAGAAGGCUAUAUGAAUAUAUUCUACAUCUAGUAUAGAUAGGAAGGAAUUAAGGCGUGCACGAACUCAGGACUGGAUUUUCCUCGAUUAGAAAUGACUUUGGCUCUAGCACUGACCUUCAAUUAAAAUUGAACUCGACGCUUUGGUUUGUGUACGCCGAUUUGUUUCAAACUGUAACAGAUAAUCAUUGAAUUAUGAUUUUUGCUGUCGCAAACACUUUCAAGUUAACCCCAAGCUGACAGUUGGGAAGUUUACUAGGCGGUUUUUCUUUAGCCAAUGUCUAGGAUUAAGUACUAUUUAAAACAUGAGCUGCAGUGUUUUAUCGGAUAUAAAGAUACGAGGCAAAGCCGAGUAUCUAUAGGUCUGAUAAAACACGCCGACUGCGAUGCGAAUGUUUUAAAUUGCUUCCAAAACGUAAUUUUCAAAAGUAUACGUUGUAUAAGUCGAG